rnacentral:lncRNA from 1 species
GUUCCCAGCAGCCUUGAGACCUCCCCCAGUAUAUGUCUUUUUUUCCUCAAAAAGAAGAGACGAGGAGGAGGAAAAAGUCAGUUGCUUCGACUUGAAAGUCAGUGCUAAAGGAGGCAUUAGAAAAGCCUUUCUUGUGGCUCAGAGCCCUGAUUACCACAAUUAAAGCCCAAGGUGUGGUGCUAUUUGCUCAGCAUGCUCUGACACAUGAAAGCAAAUGAUUCAGGCAAGGAAAAUAAUUAUACAUUAAUUUGUGUUUGGCAACUGUGUUUUAUUCCUUUGGCCCACAAAGCGAAGAUAAAAGGUGAUAUUAUUGAAAGUGUUUUCUCUGCCUUCAGUGGGGUUGCCAUGGGCUGCGUUUGGAGACAGGCGUCUUCGGUGGGGCAUCUUCCUGGGAUCGCGGGGUUGCCUUUUGGGCUCCGAUGCUGUGCUGGGCCAGGAGGAGUGGAGGAAAGAGCAAAUGAAAUAAUGGAAGGAACCCACAUCCAGUGAGAAGAUAGCCCACAAAGGACAAGCCUAAGCCGUCCACAGUUCCCCUGCCUGGGGUACCCACUGAGAAGCCUUGUGGGAAUGUGUAUCCCCCACGUUCAGGCACUUCGGUCCUUCACAAGGCUUGCUUGCCAAUGUUGCAGAUCACAAGGGCAAAAAGGGAACACUUAGUGGCAAAGAGCCCUGGUUUCUAAGGGACGAAACUUGAGUCUAAGCCUCCCUGUGCCACUAAAUAUCUGUGCCAUUUGUUCUUUGGUGCUGAGAUUUCUCUUUUAGACUAGGAAGACAUUCGACAGAAUUUCCAGAAGUGCGGAGCAUGGACACUUUUGACUAAAAGAAAUUUUUUUUGAUGUUUAUUUAUUUUUGAGAGAGAGAGAGAGAGAGAGAGAGAGCGCAAGCAGGGGAAGGGCAGAGACAGAGGGAGACACAGAAUCCGAAGCAGGCUCCAGGCUCCGAGCUGUCAGCACAGAGCCCGAUGUGGGGCUUGAACCCACAAACCACGACAUCAUGACCUGCACUGAAGUCGGAUGCUCCACCAACGGAGCCACCCAGGGGCCCCUGAAUUUCUUUUUUUAAUUGAAGUACAGUUGAUGCACAAUUUUCUAUUAGUUUCAGUUGUACGAUACUGUGAUCUGACAAGCACUUUAACUUUCUAUUCACAAGUUCUGGUCGUUGGUUAGAAAUACAUGGAAUAGAACAGACGCAUGUAUUAGAAAAAUCUACACCCAGCAAAUCAAAUUCGUGAUUUGAUGAAUAUAUAUUGAAAAGCAUUCAUCGGAGGUAAAAAGCGAGUUGAUUUAGAGUAAACUGUAAGUCAAGAGCAUUGCGGAGUGGCCCGCGAUGACUGGUGGACCACACGUGGAAAAUGUUGGACGAGAUUUUCUCUGGAUUUUUCCCAGCUCUACGAUUCCCUGAAGGGACCGGGCAGCCCUGUGCACCGGCUCCAACAGCGCUCAUAACACGGCCCCCAGCUGUUCACCAAACGGUCCGUGUUGUCCAAAACUUUCUCUCUGCACCCCAGGCGAGAACCGCCCUCGGGCCGCGUAGUGGCAGAUCCCUGUGAAUGAGAAUGGUCCAGGAAGCCUUUUCAAACUCUUUCAGGUCCUGUAGGCAUUUAUUGAGCACUUGCUGUGUGCCAGCUGACGUGUCAGGCAUGAUGUGCUCAUGAACUGUCUCUUUUAAUCCUGUGGCAACCCUGUGACAUUUUAAGUGCACCCUGGUUACCGGAGGUGGGGGGGAGGGGGGUCUUCGGCCAGGCAUGUAGCUACCAAAGCCCAUUUAAUCCUCAGUGUAGUGAAGAUAAUGACAUCUGCCUGGUGCACCUCACUGGAUUAGCAUCGGGAUUAAAAGAGAUUGUGUAUGUAAAGUAUCUUGGAAAAUAUAAGGUCCUGCACAACGAAAAAGAAAGAAGAAAAAGAACGCCAGAAAGUUCUCUGUCUCUGCGUCCUCUGCUCUCUAACAAAAUUCAUCCUGUGCCAUUAGAUUAUUGGUGAGGACCUAAGAUGUCACUUAAAUUGUCACAGGUCGGGGUGCCUGGGUGGCGCAGUCGGUUAAGCGUCCGGCUUCAGCCAGGUCACGAUCUCGCGGUCCGGGAGUUCGAGCCCCGCGUCGGGCUCUGGGCUGAUGGCUCAGAGCCUGGAGCCUGUUUCCGAUUCUGUGUCUCCCUCUCUCUCUGCCCCUCCCCCGUUCAUGCUCUGUCUCUCUCUGUCCCAAAAAUAAAUAAACGUUGAAAAAGAAAAAUUGUCA